UAACGCGUGAGGAACCUGCCUUCCAGAGGGGGACAACAGUUGGAAACGACUGCUAAUACCGCAUGACGCAUUGGUGUCGCAUGGCACUGAUGUCAAAGAUUUAUCGCUGGAAGAUGGCCUCGCGUCUGAUUAGCUGGUUGGUGAGGUAACGGCCCACCAAGGCGACGAUCGGUAGCCGGACUGAGAGGUUGGCCGGCCACAUUGGGACUGAGACACGGACCAGACUCCUACGGAAGGCAGCAG
rnacentral:rRNA from 1 species